rnacentral:sRNA from 1 species
ACUAACAAGGCCCAAUCCUGCUUAGCUUCCAAGGUCAGAUGAGAUCGGGCAUGUUCAGAGUGGUAUGGCCGUAGAC